rnacentral:rRNA from 1 species
GCUCUUCCGAUCUCAAGUUUUCCAAGCCUAAAUACUACCCAGUGACCGAUAGUGCAGAGUACUGUGAAGGAAAGGUGAAAAGGACCCCGGGAGGGGAGUGAAAUAGAACCUGAAACCCUAAGCUUACAAGCACCGAGAGCACGUCAAAGUGUGAUCGGGUACUUUUUGUAGAACGGUCCGGCGAGCGUAUGUACGUAGCAAGGUUAAGUUCUUCAGGAACGGAGCCGAAGCGAGAGCAAGUCUGAAUAGGGCGUCAAGUUACGUGCAUAGGGCCCGAAACCGGGUGACCUAUCCAUGUCCAGGCUGAAGUUGGGGUAAGACCCAAUGGAGGGCCGAACCGACCUCCGUUGAAAAGGCGGCGGAUGAGGUGUGGAUAGCGGAGAAAUUCCAAUCGAACCCGGAGAUAGCUGGUUCUCCCCGAAAUAGCUUUAGGGCUAGCGUUGUAUAUCAUUACCGGAGGUAAAGCACUGAAUGGCCUAGGGCCCUAACGGGUACCGAAGCCUAUCAAACUAAGAAUGCCGGAUAAUGUGAGUACAGCAGUCAGACUAUGGGAGAUAAGUUUCAUGGUCAAAAGGGAAACAGCCCAGACCCACAGCUAAGGUCCCAAAUAUGAUUUAAGUGGAAAACGAUGUGGAGUUGCGAAAACAACCAGGAUGUUGGCUUAGAAGCAGCCACUCAUUCAAAGAGUGCGUAAUAGCUCACUGGUCGAGUGACUCUGCGCGGAAAAUUCAACGGGGCUAAAAUCAUAACCGAAGCUUGGGAUGCAAUUAAUGCAUGGUAGGGGAGCGUUGUGUAAGGGGUGAAGUCACAGCGGAAGCGGUGGUGGACAUUACACAAGUGAGAAUGCCGGAAUGAGUAGCGCGAAUUAUGUGAGAAUCAUAAUGGCCGAAAGUCUAAGGUUUUUGGAGGAAGGUUCGUCCGCUCCAAGUUAGUCGGGAGCUAAGGUGAGGCCGAAAGGCGUAGCCGAUGCACAUACGGUAGAAAUUCCGUAACCGUCGAAGUAUUUAAGCAAAGGGACACUUUGGGAAGGUACAAGCCAGGCGUUGGUAGCCCUGGCCGUAAGGGACUGAAAAUUAGUAGGGAAGUGUACUGGAACAGAGGCGAGAAAAGCUUUGUGUAUAUACAAGACGCCCGUACCGCAAACCGACACAGGUAGAUGGGAAGAGAAUUCUAAGGCCAACGGGAGAAGGGUUGUUAAGGAACUCGGCAAGUUGACCCCGUAACUUCGGAAUAAGGGGUGCUCAUGAAAGUGAGCCGCAGAGAAUAGGUCCAGGCAACUGUUUACCAAAAACACAGGUUUGUGCUAAAUCGAAAGAUGACGUAUACGAGCUGACGCCUGCCCGGUGCUGGAAGGUUAAAAGGAGAUGUGCAAGCAUUGAAUUGAAGCCCCAGUGAACGGCGGCCGUAACUAUAACGGUCCUAAGGUAGCGAAAUUCCUUGUCAGGUAAGUUCUGACCCGCACGAAAGGCGUAAUGAUUUGGGCACUGUCUCAACAGCCCGCCCGGCGAAAUUGUAGUACCGGUGAAGAUGCCGGUUACCCGCGACAAGACGGAAAGACCCCAUGGAGCUUUACUGUAGCCUAAUAUUGGGUUUCGAUGUUGCAUGCACAGGAUAGAUGGGACACAGGGAAACAGAAGCUUUGGCUUCUGCGGAGUGGCCGUUGGGAUACCAUCCUUGCGAUAUUGGAAUUCUAACCUGCGGCUCUGAAUCGAGUCGGGGGACAUUGUUAGGUGGGCAGUUUGACUGGGGCGGUCGCCUCCUAAAAAGUAACGGAGGCGUUCAAAGGUUCGCUCAGCUUGAACGGAAAUCAAGCAAAAGAGUGCAAACGCAGAAGCGAGCCUAACUGCGAGACUGACGGGUCGAGCAGUAACGAAAGUUGGAGUUAGUGAUCCGGUGGUAUGUGAGUGGAAAUGCCAUCGCUCAACGGAUAAAA